rnacentral:rRNA from 1 species
AGUGAACGCUGGCGGUAGGCCUAACACAUGCAAGUCGAACGGCAGCACAGUAAGAGCUUGCUCUUACGGGUGGCGAGUGGCGGACGGGUGAGGAAUACAUCGGAAUCUACUUUUUCGUGGGGGAUAACGUAGGGAAACUUACGCUAAUACCGCAUACGACCUACGGGUGAAAGCAGGGGAUCUUCGGGCCUUGCGCGAUUGAAUGAGCCGAUGUCGGAUUAGCUAGUUGGCGGGGUAAAGGCCCACCAAGGCGACGAUCCGUAGCUGGUCUGAGAGGAUGAUCAGCCACACUGGAACUGAGACACGGUCCAGACUCCUACGGGAGGCAGCAGUGGGGAAUAUUGGGCAAUGGGCGCAAGCCUGAUCCAGCCAUGCCGCGUGGGUGAAGAAGGCCUUCGGGUUGUAAAGCCCUUUUGUUGGGAAAGAAAAGCAGCAGGUUAAUACCCCGCUGUUCUGACGGUACCCAAAGAAUAAGCACCGGCUAACUUCGUG